GAGAACAAACAUCUGUGCUGUGUAAUGGCACACACUUUAAUUUUGCAAGGUUACUCUCUUGCAUGUGUUUGACAGUGGAAAGUAACCUACAGUGAAAAUCUCCCAGUAAUAUCAGAGUACAAAAUCACAACAUGUUGAAGGACAUUUAAAUUGAACAAAACGGGGUGGUUUUUUUAGCCCUACUUUUGAUAUACAAAUGUUGGAUGUGUUUUACUGUGGCUUCUGACUAUGAUUGAUAGGAGAUGCAUCAAUUUCAAGGUUUGUGAAUUUAAGUAAAUUGUUGUCAGUGGUACAGCUUCUUCUUUUUUGUAUUUUUUUUUUCAAAUUAUCUCCUUACAGAGAAUAGAGUAUUACAAAUUGAGACAGGAUAUAUGUAAAGCAUCAAUUUAGCUUGACUAUUCACUUUCAACAGUAAAAAGAAAAUAGUUGUGAUAGGGAUAUGAGUACAUCAGAGUUGUUCAGAAAACUCCAGAGUGUUUAAAAAAACAGCACUGAGAGUGGUGGGUUGGGGUUUUUUGUUUUGUUGUUUAUUUGUUCGGGUUUUGGUUUUUCUUUUUCCUAAAUAAUCUUCGGUGUUUCUGUUUGGAAAACACUUUGCUCACCUUUCCAUUAAGAGGACAAAUUGUAAAUUAAAACAACAUCAGCAACCAGCAGAUCUUAUGGACAUCCUUUAUCUUUGCCCUCAGAAUAUAAUUUCAUUAGCAAAAAAACAACAACAAUAGCAAACCAACAGAACAAACCAACCAACCCAGCUGUAUGAGCUGCUUGCAACUUGUGGGAGUUCAUUAACCCUUUGUGGCUUGGAGGUGAAGUCCUCCUGGCCCGGCCCGGGGACAUCGGGCCUGGCUCCCCCGAGGUGCCACGGGAUGAUGAAAUCUCGCAGCGGAUCGGAUCAGCUGCUUUCACCCCUUCUGUCGUGUUUUCAACAAAUAGAACAUCCCAGGCUUUCCCCAUAAAUUGCCGGCACCAUGUCGCGCUCUUCCUAGAGCCACUGAUAAGGGCCGUUUGUGUUCUCCAUGCGGGAUAGGAAGUCCCGGGGAAGUUUGUGAGCCCCGCAGAAUGAGUGGGAGAACACGCGGGAGCUAUACAUGAGAUUUUGUUCCGGUUCUCAGAAGGUUUGGACUGUCUAAAAUAGAAAUAGUGGCGAUAAUGAAAAUAAAAUUAAAAAAAAAAGUAAAAAGAAAAUACAAUAUUCAAAUAAUAAAAUAACUAAAAUACAAGGGAAAAAAAAGAAAAAGAAAAGAAAAAGGAGAAAGGAAGAAAGAAAGAAAGAAAGAAAGGAAGGACCUGUGGGUUAGCAGUUUGCGCACAACCCUCCCGUCCCGCAGCACCCGAACGCGGC
ensembl:lncRNA